UUAAUAGGAAGACAGACUAAGAGCACCACGUCCUAUGGCAACGUCUGCAUGACCUGCAUCCUGCAGG
rnacentral:sRNA from 1 species